rnacentral:rRNA from 1 species
CUCAUGACGAACGCUGGCGGCGUGCUUAACACAUGCAAGUCGAACGGAAAGGCCCUGCUUUUGUGGGGUGCUCGAGUGGCGAACGGGUGAGUAACACGUGAGUAACCUGCCCUUGACUUUGGGAUAACUUCAGGAAACUGGGGCUAAUACCGGAUAGGAGCUCCUGCUGCAUGGUGGGGGUUGGAAAGUUUCGGCGGUUGGGGAUGGACUCGCGGCUUAUCAGCUUGUUGGUGGGGUAGUGGCUUACCAAGGCUUUGACGGGUAGCCGGCCUGAGAGGGUGACCGGCCACAUUGGGACUGAGAUACGGCCCAGACUCCUACGGGAGGCAGCAGUGGGGAAUAUUGCACAAUGGGCGGAAGCCUGAUGCAGCAACGCCGCGUGCGGGAUGACGGCCUUCGGGUUGUAAACCGCUUUCGCCUGUGACGAAGCGUGAGUGACGGUAAUGGGUAAAGAAGCACCGGCUAACUACGUGCCAGCAGCCGCGGUGAUACGUAGGGUGCGAGCGUUGUCCGGAUUUAUUGGGCGUAAAGGGCUCGUAGGUGGUUGAUCGCGUCGGAAGUGUAAUCUUGGGGCUUAACCCUGAGCGUGCUUUCGAUACGGGUUGACUUGAGGAAGGUAGGGGAGAAUGGAAUUCCUGGUGGAGCGGUGGAAUGCGCAGAUAUCAGGAGGAACACCAGUGGCGAAGGCGGUUCUCUGGGCCUUUCCUGACGCUGAGGAGCGAAAGCGUGGGGAGCGAACAGGCUUAGAUACCCUGGUAGUCCACGCUGUAAACGGUGGGUACUAGGUGUGGGGUCCAUUCCACGGGUUCCGUGCCGUAGCUAACGCUUUAAGUACCCCGCCUGGGGAGUACGGCCGCAAGGCUAAAACUCAAAGGAAUUGACGGGGCCCCGCACAAGCGGCGGAGCAUGCGGAUUAAUUCGAUGCAACGCGUAGAACCUUACCUGGGUUUGACAUGGAUCGGGAGUGCUCAGAGAUGGGUGUGCCUCUUUUGGGGUCGGUUCACAGGUGGUGCAUGGCUGUCGUCAGCUCGUGUCGUGAGAUGUUGGGUUAAGUCCCGCAACGAGCGCAACCCUUGUUCACUGUUGCCAGCACGUUAUGGUGGGGACUCAGUGGAGACCGCCGGGGUCAACUCGGAGGAAGGUGGGGAUGACGUCAAGUCAUCAUGCCCCUUAUGUCCAGGGCUUCACGCAUGCUACAAUGGCUGGUACAGAGAGUGGCGAGCCUGUGAGGGUGAGCGAAUCUCGGAAAGCCGGUCUCAGUUCGGAUUGGGGUCUGCAACUCGACCUCAUGAAGUCGGAGUCGCUAGUAAUCGCAGAUCAGCAACGCUGCGGUGAAUACGUUCCCGGGGCUUGUACACACCGCCCGUCAAGUCAUGAAAGUUGGUAACACCCGAAGCCGGUGGCCUAACCGUUGUGGGGGAGCCGUCGAAGGUGGGACUGGUG